AUGGAAUUGACAAGAGUCCUUUGGCUAGCAUCUUUUCCUAUUUUGGUCACAAUUGUGUUGAUCAGAAUGGCAUGGCAACGAGCGACGUUCUCCCGAACAACCAAACGAUCACCUCCUCCGCCGCCCGUGGCCACAGGGGCUCCCCUACUAGGGAUCCUCCCGGCGCUUCUCAUUAAGGGCCCGCUGCAAGUAAUCCGCGACGCCCAUGCAGAGAUGGGGAGCGUGUUCACAAUGAGACUGUUGCAACGCAAGGUGACCUUCCUGGUUGGGCCAGAUGUGUCAAGCCAUUUCUUCCAAGGGCUGGAUACGGAGAUCAGCCAGGACGAGGUCUCACAGUUCACCAUUCCGACCUUCGGCCCUGGCGUUGCCUUCGACGUAGAUUUCGCCACUCGCCGCGAACAAUUCCGCUUCUUCGGCGACGCGAUGAAGCCGGCCAAGCUCAGGUCCUACGCCCGACUCAUGGUGCAAGAAGUCGAGGUAGGAAAUAAUUAA
rnacentral:rRNA from 1 species